rnacentral:rRNA from 1 species
CAAUAGCGUAUAUUAAAGUUGUUGCAGUUAAAAAGCUCGUAGUUGGAUUUCUGGUAGGAGCGACCGUGCCGAACUUGAUUGUUCGAGUAUUGUGUUGUCUUCAGCCAUCCUCGUGGAGAACUUUUCUAACAUUAACUUGUUGGGAUUGGGACCCGCGUCGUUUACUGUGAAAAAAUUAGUGUGUUUAAAGCAGGCAUUAGCUUGAAUACAUUAGCAUGGAAUAAUAAGAUAGGACUUUGGUACUAUUUUGUUGGUUUGCAUACCAAAUUAAUGAUCAACAGGAACAGUUUGAGGAUAUUCGUAUGAACAUGUCAGAGGUGAAAUUCUUGGAUUUUGAUCAGACGAACUACUGCGAAAGCAUUUAUCAAGGAUGUUUUCAUUAA